AACGAACGUUAGCGGCGCGCUUAACACAUGCAAGUCGCACGAGAAAGGGCUUCGGCCCCGGUAAAGUGGCGCACGGGUGAGUAACACGUGGGUAAUCUUCCCUCAGGCGGGGGAUAACCUUCCGAAAGGAGGGCUAAUACCGCAUAAGACCACGGCUUCGAAAGAAGACGAGGUAAAAGCAGGCCUCUAUACAUAAGCUUGCACCAGAGGAUGAGCCCGCGGCCCAUCAGGUAGUUGGCAGGGUAACGGCCUACCAAGCCUAAGACGGGUAGCUGGU
rnacentral:rRNA from 1 species